AAGAAAACAGCAGGCUCAAAAAAAUGUGAGAAAUAUAACUAAAUAUAACUAAAUAUCCUAAAUAUAACUAAAGGACUUCGUAAAAGUGCAGUUCUUACCUAAGAGGUAAUUUUAUAUUACAUAAAACUAAUAAAAAUUACUCUGAAAAUAUUUGAAAGGAACAAACUAUCGUAAAAAAUAAAAAAUGACGGAUUAUUACUUUAAUCCGUACCCUAAAAACCCUGAAGGUAGUGAGAAGUGUACCUUUUUUGCUGCGUAAAGGUGGCUAUUAAGUAAUUUAGGCCGUUUUCGAAGCUACAUGAAGUUAAUUCAUUACGAUAUAGUGGAGUUUUCAAAUUUUUAGUUUUUCUCUUCGCUUAGUUAUAAAGCAACUCUGAAAAAUAUAAUAAAAACAAAUUACAUCAUUGUAUCUUUUAUGAUGUCGUUAUAAAAACUUGUCCAGGUAAUCUAAAGUUCCACUGUAUAAUUUGCGUAUACCUGGCUCUACUCCAAGAAAUUCCUUAUUACUAUUUGCUAAUAGUUAGUCCUUCCUUUCAUAUCGUGAAACCCAUUUUGUCAUUUUUGUGACCAUACCAAUUGCUUUAUGGCUUUUCGUAAUAAGCAUGCAGUUUUUUUCAUUUGCGAAAUGUCCCGAUAAAUCUCUUUUUGAUCACUAUUUUUUCCGUUAAGAAAUUGAGAAACCUGUGAGUAUUUUCCAGGUUGAGGGAACCCAGCUUUUAGAUAGAGAAAGUAUAGAGAGAAUGUUACUAGUUUAUAAAAGCUUAUGGAAUAGGAGAGGGGGGGGGCGAUAAUCCUCGCAAGAGCGUAAACAAUACACAAAUCUUAUUACGACAGCAUUAUUUUUUUCGGAGACUUCUUAAAUAAAUAGCAUGUAAACGUUUUUGACCUUUUCUCUUUCUUGAAAGAGAGAGACAUUCAAAUCUUUUUUGUUUGUAACUGUACAGCUUAGCGAUGAGAUACUGAGCGAUUUGUUCGUAAAUGUUUCUGUCCUUAAAUACCUUGUUUACUGUUAUCAUUAUACUUAUUAUUACUAAACUAAUCUUGCUAUCGGUGAAUAUUUCCAUACUUAUAUUUUAUGAAGAUUACUAUUGUAUACAUCGUAAGGAAUAUUGUUGUAAUGAAAUAUAAGUUUGAGGGACUGAUAAAGUUUAUUAGAGGAAGAAGAGCUGGUUUAGCAUUUAGUACUUAUAGAAAAAUAAAAAGAGCAAUAUACACAAUUCACAUAAUAAGCAAGAAUACAUAAAAUAUCCAAAGUAUGAUAUUUGCUAUAAUAUUUAAUGGUAAUGGAAGACAUUUCUGCGUACGUUACGUAGCAUAGCGUAAAGAUAGUUAACGUCCCAGAUAAUUUUAUUUCUGUUUUAAACUGUUUAUUUAUCUGUCGUAAUAUACAAAGAUGUUAACCCUCCUAUAACAAAAGCUUUUCUCCACCUACAAGCUAGUUCCUCAGAUAUUUCCUCAAACUCGGGCCUUGUCGUAAAUAAGACGUAUUGGUAAUGUGUUUACGGCGAACGCUAUUCAUCUGAAACCAUCUCUGAAAGGAGACUAUUUGGUCGACGAAUAAAAUUCCUUGUCAAAGAAUCUGUCCAAAGGCGUGUCUCGUAAUACAGUGAGAACGAAAUGCAAAAGCUUUCAUGGAAAGAAAGGAGUUCUCGCGGGGGAAGGAGGCGUGCCGAAGACCGGAAGCAAGCAAAUCUUGAAAGUCUGUUGGCUAAACUUGGUCGGUGGUCUGGCCGCAAGAUAAAUUGAGAAAUUUUCUCAACCUCUUAAUGCUAUUAUCAAAGAAUCCCAUUUUACCUAAGAGACAAUAGAAUCCAUUAAACAAAGAAACGCCAUGGGAGGCUCAAAUAAAAGUUUAAGUAAGGAUUAACUAAUGAACUUACAUAGUCAGCCAAAACCAGAACCAUUAAUCAACACGAGUCGAAGAAAAGAGUAGGUUCAUCUUCCGGUGACACGCUCUGAGGAUUGCCAUAUGUUGUCCAAUCCUAACGAGC